AUGCAAUGUUGCAUUAUUUGUAAUAAAAGUGCAUAUAUUAUGAUUUGAGUUAAAGCUUCUUUAAAUAAUUUGCUAUGAUGUUUUAACUAAAUGGCUUUGCUUUGCAUAUAAUAAGUUGCUGUUAUACUACUAAUUGAAUUUGGAAGGUGUUGUGUGUUAUGUUGGAGUAUCUUUCAUCAUGAAGGUAUCGUCGUCACUUCAACUUCCAGACUCUCGAUCCAGACUGCUCUACAAAUCCACAUUAACAUGUCUCUUAUAUUGGAUCUUAUAACGAGGAAGAAUUUAAGAAAAAAGAAGAAAAAGUAUCACGCAUCAAUUUUACCACGCGAUUGAGCGCUUGAGUUGUAUGAAGAGCUAACAGUACCUACUAUGGCGAAGUGACCCCCGGCGUAGCAACUGCUACGUUGCUACGAAUUGCGUAGUCGAAAUAAGGUGCAAAUUGUUUAAUUUUAGACAUAUUAAAAUUUUAUGAUUGUGCCUUUGAAUGCAUAUCUUGUGGAUGUUUUAGUGUUUUUUAAUGUAUAUUUAUAUGUAUUUG